GAUCACUCCCUCUGUCUCUCUCUCUCUCUCUCUUUCCUACCAGCAACCCUAUCCUACAGAAGAUGGCACCAAGUGUAAAUAGCAAGUAUGUUAUUUCCUAGAAUAAUUGCAAUAGAUGUGUAAAAGUGCAUAAAGUGUACGAAAUUGUAUGUAUGAAGUGUUUAUAGUGUAUUUUAUUGUUAAAAAGUUGCUGAAUAAAGAAAUGGGGGUGAACCGCCGUGAACCGC
rnacentral:lncRNA from 1 species